AUGCUGUGAGCUCGAUGAGUAGGGCGGGACACGUGGUAUCCUGUCUGAAUAUGGGGGGACCAUCCUCCAAGGCUAAAUACUCCUGACUGACCGAUAGUGAACCAGUACCGUGAGGGAAAGGCGAAAAGAACCCCGGCGAGGGGAGUGAAAAAGAACCUGAAACCGUGUACGUACAAGCAGUGGGAGCCCCACCACUAAGCCAGUGGUGAAAUCCACAUACGCAUCCUUUGCUGAGGAUACGGUUAACGGAGCGCAAGCGACGUUCAACCUCAAAAGAAGCAGAGGGGGCUUAGUGGUGGGGUGACUGCGUACCUUUUGUAUAAUGGGUCAGCGACUUAUAUUCUGUAGCAAGGUUAACCGAAUAGGGGAGCCGGAGGGAAACCGAGUCUUAACCGGGCGUUAAGUUGCAGGGUAUAGACCCGAAACCCGGUGAUCUAGCCAUGGGCAGGUUGAAGGUUGGGUAACACUAACUGGAGGACCGAACCGACUAAUGUUGAAAAAUUAGCGGAUGACCUGUGGCUGGGGGUGAAAGGCCAAUCAAACCGGGAGAUAGCUGGUUCUCCCCGAAAGCUAUUUAGGUAGCGCCUCGUGAAUUCAUCUCCGGGGGUAGAGCACUGUUUCGGCUAGGGGGCCAUCCCGGCUUACCAACCCGAUGCAAACUGCGAAUACCGGAGAAUGUUAUCACGGGAGACACACGGCGGGUGCUAACGUCCGUCGUGAAGAGGGAAACAACCCAGACCGCCAGCUAAGGUCCCAAAGUCAUGGUUAAGUGGGAAACGAUGUGGGAAGGCCCAGACAGCCAGGAUGUUGGCUUAGAAGCAGCCAUCAUUUAAAGAAAGCGUAAUAGCUCACUGGUCGAGUCGGCCUGCGCGGAAGAUGUAACGGGGCUAAACCAU
rnacentral:rRNA from 1 species